rnacentral:rRNA from 1 species
GCUGGGUUUAGAACGUCGUGAGACAGUUCGGUCCCUAUCCUCUAUGGUCGUAGGAAAUUUGAAGGAAUCUGUAUCUAGUACGAGAGGACCGAUAUGGACGAACCUCUAGUGUACCUGUUGUUAUAUCAAUAGCAUCGCAGGGUAGCUACGUUCGUAAUGGAUAAGCGCUGAAAGCAUAUAAGUGCGAAGCCAAUCCUAAGAUUAGAUUUCCCUUUCUUUAUAGAACCGAAGACUCCCAAAAGAAUAUUGGGUUGAUAGGUCGCAGAUGUAAGUACAGUAAUGUAUUCAGUCGAGCGAUACUAAGUAGUCAGGAGACUUGAC